rnacentral:tRNA from 1 species
UCCCGCUUAGCUCAGUUGGUAGAGCGCGUCACUAGUAUUAUCACCUGAUACAAAAAUGGCAUGACGAGGUCAGUCGUUCAAGUCGGCUAGUGGGAA